GAUGAACGCUGGCGGCGUGCUUAACACAUGCAAGUCGAGCGAAGCACUCUGGAAGAUUCCUUCGGGAUGAUUCCUUAGUGACUUAGCGGCGGACGGGUGAGUAACGCGUGGGCAACCUGCCUUGUACAGGGGGAUAACAGUUAGAAAUGACUGCUAAUACCGCAUAAGCGCACAGCAUGGCAUCAUGCAGUGUGAAAAACUCCGGUGGUACAAGAUGGGCCCGCGUUGGAUUAGCUUGUUGGUGGGGUAACGGCCCACCAAGGCGACGAUCCAUAGCCGGACUGAGAGGUCGAACGGCCACAUUGGGACUGAGACACGGCCCAG
rnacentral:rRNA from 1 species